CGCUCCCUCCAAGCCCGAGGAAGGUAACCCGCGCUUCCCACUUGCCUCAUUAACUUUCUACCACUUUGGUUUCUCACAUUCCUAAUCAAACCCCAUUUUGGAAAUACUAGUCAUUUCUCAGAAGCUUGAGAAACUUUUUGCUUUCUCCUUGUGUGAAGUUUUAGGGGGAAAAAAAAGUUUAUUUUCCCCUCUAGCCUUAUUUUGACUUGGCUGAAGUCACUGGAGACAGCACAAACUUUGCAUUUUGAUGAGGCCUCUUUCGAAUGUGCCAGCACUGCAGCUGAAUUUCAAUGAUUCUCAACAGCUGAGUAUCAGAGAAGCCCACUCCCAGGGCUUCUAUGUCGCAAGACAUUUGAAACAAUACUUGACUCUCACCAUCACCGUUGCUUCAAGACGCAUUCAGUCCUUAACGCUUUGUGAUCUGAUGUCCAUCUGGGCCACCCUCCUGAAGAAACGCUUCGUCAAGAAAUCUAAGGAAUUCCUGCUUUGUAAGCCCAGUGGACCCUUUCAAUUUUCAUCUGACAGUUCCUUUAUGCAACACGUAGCGCCGCUAACCACUCCUUCCUUUUGGAAACACUCUUCUUUGGCUCCCCAAACACCAUCGUCCUGCCCCUCUGACCACUCCGGCUCAGUCUCUUUCCCAGUGCUCCUCUUCCUCAGACCAACCAUGAAAAGCCCCUGGUACUCUAUCUUCUCUAAAGCGUCUUCCUGACUGAUCUCACCCAUAUACUGAUGAAAACUUUAUUUACAGCCCCAACUUUUUCCUGGGCUUUGUAGAAAUAUAUCUAAUUACAUAUCAUGGCCACAGUUACUGACUUCACUGCCCUGAUUCAGUGCCUCACAUCCCUCAUUUCAUUAUUGGAUCUUUAAAAAGGGUCUUGACUAAUCUUGCCUCCAAGAUUGUCUUCCCUCCAGCUC
ensembl:lncRNA